UACGUAGGUGGCAAGCGUUAUCCGGAUUUAUUGGGCGUAAAGCGAGCGCAGGCGGAAAGAUAAGUCUGAUGUGAAAGCCCCCGGCUUAACCGAGGAAUUGCAUCGGAAACUGUGUUUCUUGAGUGCAGAAGAGGAGAGUGGAAUUCCUAGUGUAGCGGUGAAAUGCGUAGAUAUUAGGAGGAACACCAGCGGCGAAGGCGGCUUACUGGACCGUGACUGACGUUGAGGCUCGAAAGCGUGGGGAGCAAACAGG
rnacentral:rRNA from 1 species